CAGCAGCCACGGUAAUACGUAGGGUGCGAGCGUUAAUCGGAAUUACUGGGCGUAAAGCGUGCGCAGGCGGUUUUGUAAGACAGGCGUGAAAUCCCCGGGCUCAACCUGGGAAUGGCGCUUGUGACUGCGAAGCUAGAGUGCGGCAGAGGGGGAUGGAAUUCCGCGUGUAGCAGUGAAAUGCGUAGAUAUGUGGAGGAACACCGAUGGCGAAGGCAAUCCCCUGGGCCUGCACUGACGCUCAUGCGCGAAAGCGUGGGGAGCAAACAGGAUUAGAUACCCGGGUAGUCCCUGUCUCUUAUAC
rnacentral:rRNA from 1 species